rnacentral:lncRNA from 1 species
UAACAGCGGUGCUGGGAUGCAGACUCCCUCGUCAUUAGCAAGCACUGCUCUCAAGACGCCAGCGUGUGCGGCGUGUGCGUGUUGGGUGUGCGACCAUAUGGCACGUUUGCUGUCCACAUGAUUAAGACCAAGACUAGUGGAAGAAAAACCAAAAAACAAAACAGAGAGACAGAUGACAAAGUUAUAACACUUCAUGGGAGAGAAAGAAGGAAGGGAAGAACAGAUUGAGGGUGAGAGCAGCAGACUGUGUCGGAGUGAGUGAUGGGAGAGCGAUGCCGCAAAAUAAAAGAAGUGAUCAUGCAAUGAUGUCUCGGGUUGAUACUGUACACCUCGCACUUCAGUGUGAUGGUGGCGCUGGAGGUGAUGUGUGUGUGUGUGUGUGUGUGUGUGUGUGUCUCGCCAGGGACCAGGGAAGUGUGAAUAUGGCAGUGGAAGUCUGCCAACGAGAGCUCGGGAGGAGGAGAAAAGAGAAAGACAAGAGAGAAAUGAAGAGGAGGAGGAGGAGAGGAAGAGGAGAGGGGGAAAACUCCAUCCUUUGUUCUUCGUUGAUGAAAGGAGGAAUUGGAUCCUCUACUCCCACUCUCUCGCUUUCUCUCUUGGUGAUGAGCCUUGAUGUGUUAGGGAUUAUGUAA